CACGUAGGGUGCGAGCGUUGUCCGGAAUUAUUGGGCGUCAAGAGCUCGUAGGCGGUGUGUCGCGUCGGCCGUGAAAACCUGCAGCUUAACUGUGGGCUUGCGGUCGAUACGGGCAUCACUGGAGUUCGGCAGGGGAGACUGGAAUUCCUGGUGUAGCGGUGAAAUGCGCAGAUAUCAGGAGGAACACCGGUGGCGAAGGCGGCAUCCUGGACCGGCAUUGACGCUGAGGAGCGAAAGCCAGGGGAGCAAACGGG
rnacentral:rRNA from 1 species